GACGAACGCUGGCGGCGUGCUUAACACAUGCAAGUCGAACGGAAAGGCCCUGCUUUUGUGGGGUGCUCGAGUGGCGAACGGGUGAGUAACACGUGAGUAACCUGCCCUUGACUUUGGGAUAACUUCAGGAAACUGGGGCUAAUACCGGAUAGGAGCUCCUGCUGCAUGGUGGGGGUUGGAAAGUUUCGGCGGUUGGGGAUGGACUCGCGGGUUAUCAGCUUGUUGGUGGGGUAGUGGCUUACCAAGGCUUUGACGGGUAGCCGGCCUGAGAGGGUGACCGGCCACAUUGGGACUGAGAUACGGCCCAGACUCCUACGGGGGGCAGCAGUGGGGAAUAUUGCACAAUGGGCGGAAGCCUGAUGCAGCAACGCCGCGUGCGGGAUGACGGCCUUCGGGUUGUAAACCGCUUUCGCCUGUGACGAAGCGGGAGUGACGGUAAUGGGUAAAGAAGCACCGGCUAACUACGUG
rnacentral:rRNA from 1 species